CCUACGGGAGGCAGCAGUGGGGAAUAUUGCACAAUGGGGGAAACCCUGAUGCCGCGACGCCGCGUGAGCGCAGAAGUAUUUCGGUAUGUAAAGCUCUAUCAGCAGGGAAGAAAAUAAAGGUACCUUAGUAAGAAACCCCGGCUAAAGAAGUUCCCGCAGCCGCGGUAAUACGUAAGGAGCAAGCGUUUUCCUGAUUUACUGGGCGUAAAGGGAGCGUAGGCGGCCUGCCAAGUCUGAUGUAAAAUACCGGGGCUCAACCCCGGGGCUGCAUUGGAAACUGGCAGGCUGGAGGGCCGGAGAGGCAGGCGGAAUUCGUAGUGUAGCGGUGAAAUGCGUAGAUAUUAGGAGGAACACCAGUGGCGAAGGCGGCCUGCUGGACGGUGACUGACGCUGAGGCUCGAAAGCGUGGGGAGCAAACAGGAUUAGAUACCCCAGUAGUC
rnacentral:rRNA from 1 species